GCUGGGCGUGGUGGCGCGUGCCUGUAGUCCCAGCUACUCGGGAGGCUGAGGCAGGAGAAUCACUUGAACCCGGGAGAUGGAGAUUGCAGUGAGCUGAGAUUGUGCCACUGCACUCCAGCCUGGGUGACAGAGUGAGACUCUGUCUU
rnacentral:SRP_RNA from 1 species